AUGAGUUUGUCCUGAACAGAAAUUUUAUUUGGAUUCAGUUCGGUGAGCUCUUAAUUGUGUCCUACCCACAUCCCUCUGCAUCCCUCUGCAGGGUGCAAGAACUGUGCUAACGUGUGUUCUAAGGUCUUCCAAAUCGAGGAUGAUUUCGGACGGGCAAGAGUUUACGACCAAUCAGGCAGCACAGAACUGAUUCAAGAAGCUAUUGACAGUUGGCAAGUUCACGCUGGGAGAAAAGACAAGCCAAAGUCCUGGAGAAGGUAAGAAGGCGGAUGAGCCAAGAUGAUUCCAGAAAGGGUGGCUCAUGGAGUGACAUCUGGGGAGCACCAACAAGAUACGAGAAGAACGGUACAUCCCAUUACUAAAGGAGACAUUUAUGUUCCCACAAAGCUUGGGCAUUUUAGGUGGAAAACCUGGUACAUCAACAUACAUUGUUGGGGUACAGGAUGAUAGGGCUCUCUACCUAGAUCCCCAUGAAGUUCAGAUGGUAAACCUGCAUACAUUUUAUAUUUACUUAGCAUGCAUAUGCAUCUAUUUCAUAAACGUUGUAUAGUUUUCUACCUUGUAACUUAAGUUGAGCACCAUACUUAAGAAGUAUCAAAAUCAUCAAGUUUCAAGUUUGAACUGAGUUCCAUUCUCUUAUUCAAAGAUAACAGUGGCAUGUCUAUUCUGCAGCAAUUCCUGUUCCAUAAGCCACUAGAAUCUGGUUAUUUUUGUUGGAGUGAAGUGCAUUGUGAGUUCCUAAAAUUCGUUAGGUUGUGCCAUUGGAGUCCCUGAACUUGGCAGCUGAAGAUUCAGGUCAAGGCAUGCUCAAACUAUAUCGGUAGUGAAAUAUGGCAUGGUAUUAGAGAGAACUGCAGAUUGUUGCAAUUAUCAUGUGAAAUCAGCAAGGAUUUCAUAUUCUGGAUUAUAGAGCAAACUGAAAAGUUUUCAUAUCCUUACUUUCUUUGGGCUUAAUAAUUAGCAGGACCAUGCUAAGCUUAUGAGCCAUUUGUAUCCCUUGUGGGCCUGACACAACCAAUUUUGUUAGACAUAAUCAUGUGUUGAGUGUCUGAUUUGGGGUAGAGUUCCAUUGGAAGUAGGGCGUCGAGCGGGGUCCCGUGCGGCAGCGCCAGGCGCGGUUUGGUUUCGUUGGGACUUGUGAGCAGCUAUCACUUAUGGUAGCCGGCUGCCUGGCUUGGAGCCGAUGAGCUCGAGUCAGAACUGUUUAUCUUGGAACAAUUACUCAGCUGGACCUGCCGAUGAACAAUUACGAGCAUGAGAAAAUUACUCUAGGUUUUUAGAUUGACUAUGGACUCUUGUUGCUUUGUUGAACACUUGAACCAAACUUCUAUAAAAUGGACUCUUGCGCACUUAUUCUAGACUGACAUUCUUUUGUACUGAGUCACCAGUGCAUACUUGCUGAUAUUUUGAUGUUGGAUUGGGUAACAUCUGAACAUCUUGUGCCCACUCUUGACUGUUAUUCAGGUAAUAGAAUAAACAUAGAAGGCGCUUUCAGUUUGCCGUGUUCCGCAAGGAAGAGAGCUAGUUAUGGAUCUUUCUGAGUUUACAGUUUAUUUGGAGGGGAGAAGGAUAAAGAUGAGAAUGGCGAUGAAGCGCCAUCGAAAGUAUUGGCAAAUAUUAAGUGGCCUGAAACACUCGAGACUGAUUUUAUCUACAGUGAGAAAACAAUCAAUUUUCCUAUACUGAAAUAGUUACUCCUUCCAUACCAAAUUAUAAGUCGUUCUAGCUUUUUUAGGCUCAGUUUUUGUUAUCCAUCUA